rnacentral:rRNA from 1 species
AUUGAACGCUGGCGGCAUGCCUAACACAUGCAAGUCGAACGGAAACACGAAACACCUUCUUGUCUCGCGUACGAGUCGGGCACGUGAGUGAAACGUCGGUGACCCAUCUAGAGGGAUGGGUAAACCUACGGGAAACGGAACCAAAAACCGCAUAACGACGCAACACCAAGGAUCGUGAGUUUCAGACCUCUUGGCAUCGGCUGUUCCCUGAUCGGAUUAGCUAGUAGGUAGGGUAACGGCUCACCUAGGCGACGAUCCGUAGCUGGUAUGAGAGGAUGACCAGCCACACUGGAACUGAGACACGGUCCAGACUCCUACGGGAGGCAGCAGUGGGGAAUUUUGCACAAUGGGGGCAAGCCUGAUGCAGCCAUGCCGCGUGUAUGAUGAAGGCCUUCGGGUUGUAAAGCACUUUUAGCAGGGAAGAAGCGAAGAGAGUUAAUACCUUGACGCAUUGACGGUACCUGCAGAAGAAGCACCGGCUAACUCCGUG